rnacentral:rRNA from 1 species
GUAAGCCUGUGAAGGUGGCCUGUGAGGGUUGCUGGAGGUAUCAGAAGUGCGAAUGCUGACAUAAGUAACGAUAAAGCGGGUGAAAAGCCCGCUCGCCGGAAGACCAAGGGUUCCUGUCCAACGUUAAUCGGGGCAGGGUGAGUCGACCCCUAAGGCGAGGCCGAAAGGCGUAGUCGAUGGGAAACGGGUUAAUAUUCCCGUACUUGGUGUUACUGCGAAGGGGGGACGGAGAAGGCUAUGUUGGCCGGGCGACGGUUGUCCCGGUUUAAGCGUGUAGGUGUGUGUUCCAGGUAAAUCCGGUUCACUUUAACACUGAGGCGUGAUGACGAGGCACUACGGUGCUGAAGCAACAAAUGCCCUGCUUCCAGGAAAAGCCUCUAAGCAUCAGGUAACAUCAAAUCGUACCCCAAACCGACACAGGUGGUCAGGUAGAGAAUACCAAGGCGCUUGAGAGAACUCGGGUGAAGGAACUAGGCAAAAUGGUGCCGUAACUUCGGGAGAAGGCACGCUGACACGUAGGUGAAGUGAUUUACUCAUGGAGCUGAAGUCAGUCGAAGAUACCAGCUGGCUGCAACUGUUUAUUAAAAACACAGCACUGUGCAAACACGAAAGUGGACGUAUACGGUGUGACGCCUGCCCGGUGCCGGAAGGUUAAUUGAUGGGGUCAGCGCAAGCGAAGCUCCUGAUCGAAGCCCCGGUAAACGGCGGCCGUAACUAUAACGGUCCUAAGGUAGCGAAAUUCCUUGUCGGGUAAGUUCCGACCUGCACGAAUGGCGUAAUGAUGGCCAGGCUGUCUCCACCCGAGACUCAGUGAAAUUGAACUCGCUGUGAAGAUGCAGUGUACCCGCGGCAAGACGGAAAGACCCCGUGAACCUUUACUAUAGCUUGACACUGAACAUUGAGCCUUGAUGUGUAGGAUAGGUGGGAGGCUUUGAAGUGUGGACGCCAGUCUGCAUGGAGCCGACCUUGAAAUACCACCCUUUAAUGUUUGAUGUUCUAACGUGGACCCGUAAUCCGGGUUGCGGACAGUGUCUGGUGGGUAGUUUGACUGGGGCGGUCUCCUCCUAAAGAGUAACGGAGGAGCACGAAGGUUGGCUAAUCCUGGUCGGACAUCAGGAGGUUAGUGCAAUGGCAUAAGCCAGCUUGACUGCGAGCGUGACGGCGCGAGCAGGUGCGAAAGCAGGUCAUAGUGAUCCGGUGGUUCUGAAUGGAAGGGCCAUCGCUCAACGGAUAAAAGGUACUCCGGGGAUAACAGGCUGAUACCGCCCAAGAGUUCAUAUCGACGGCGGUGUUUGGCACCUCGAUGUCGGCUCAUCACAUCCUGGGGCUGAAGUAGGUCCCAAGGGUAUGGCUGUUCGCCAUUUAAAGUGGUACGCGAGCUGGGUUUAGAACGUCGUGAGACAGUUCGGUCCCUAUCUGCCGUGGGCGCUGGAGAACUGAGGGGGGCUGCUCCUAGUACGAGAGGACCGGAGUGGACGCAUCACUGGUGUUCGGGUUGUCAUGCCAAUGGCACUGCCCGGUAGCUAAAUGCGGAAGAGAUAAGUGCUGAAAGCAUCUAAGCACGAAACUUGCCCCGA